rnacentral:sRNA from 1 species
UAGGCACUAAUACAAAAAACUUACAAAA